rnacentral:rRNA from 1 species
AACGUAGGAGGCAAGCGUUAUCCGGAUUUACUGGGCGUAAAGCGCGUGCAGGCGGUUUGGUAAGUUGGAUGUGAAAGCUCCCGGCUCAACUGGGAGAGGUCGUUCAAAACUACCAGACUUGAGGGCGGUAGAGGGAAGUGGAAUUCCGUGUGUAGUGGUGAAAUGCGUAGAUAUACGGAGGAACACCAGUGGCGAAAGCGGCUUCCUGGACCGAUCCUGACGCUCAGACGCGAAAGCUAGGGGAGCAAACGGGAUUAGAAACCCUAGUAGUCC